GAUGAACGCUGGCGGCGUGCCUAAUACAUGCAAGUCGAGCGAACAGACGAGGAGCUUGCUCCUCUGACGUUAGCGGCGGACGGGUGAGUAACACGUGGAUAACCUACCUAUAAGACUGUGAUAACUUCGGGAAACCGGAGCUAAUACCGGAUAAUAUAUUGAACCGCAUGGUUCAAUAGUGAAAGACGGUUUUGCUGUCACUUAUAGAUGGAUCCGCGCCGCAUUAGCUAGUUGGUAAGGUAACGGCUUACCAAGGCCACGAUGCGUCGCCGACCUGAGCGGGUGAUCGGCCACCUUGGAACUGAGACACGGUCCAGACUACUACGAGAGGCAGCAGUAGGGAAUCUUCCGCAAUGGGCGAAAGCCUGACGGAGCAACGCCGAGUGAGUGAUGAAGGUCUUCGGAUCGGAAAACUCUGUUAUUAGGGAAGAACAAAUGUGUAAGUAACUAUGCCCGUCUUGACGGUACCUAAACAGAAAGCCACGGCUAACUACGUG
rnacentral:rRNA from 1 species